rnacentral:pre_miRNA from 1 species
AUAUUACUCCCUCCGUCCCAAAAUUCUUGUCUUACAUUUGUCUAGAUACAGAUGUAUCUAACACUAAAAUGUAACUAGAUACAUCCGUAUUUAGACAAAUCUAAGACAAGAAUUUUGGGACGGAGGGAGUAGUUU